GACGAACGCUGGCGGCGUGCUUAACACAUGCAAGUCGAACGGUGAAGCGCCUUCCUUUUUGGUGGGUGUGGAUGAGGGGCGAACGGGUGAGUAACACGUUAGUAACCUGCCCCCUUCUUCUGGAUAACCGCAUGAAAGUGUGGCUAAUACGGGAUAUUCUGUGUCUGUCGCAUGAUGGGUCUGGGAAAGCUAUUGUGUCGGUGGGGGAUGGGCUCGCGGCCUAUCAGCUUGUUGGUGGGGGGAUGGCCUACCAAGGCGGUGUCGGGGAGCCGGCAUGAGAGGGUCGACGGUCACACUGGGGCUGCGCCGCGGCCACGACUCCGACGGGCGGCAGCAGUGGGGAUUAUUGCACAAUCGGCGCAAGCCUGAUGCCGCGCCGCCGCGUGGGGGAUGGAGGCCUUCGGGUUGUGAACCUCUUUCGCCAGUGAAGCAGGCCUGCCUCGUUUGCGGGUGGGUUGACGGUAGCUGGAUAAGAAGCGCCGGCUAACUACGUG
rnacentral:rRNA from 1 species